UUAAGCAUAUCAAUAAGCGGAGGAAAAGAAACCAACAGGGAUUGCCCUAGUAACGGCGAGUGAAGCGGCAAAAGCUCAAAUUUGAAAUCUGGCUUCGGCCCGAGUUGUAAUUUGUAGAGGAUGUUUCGGGCACCGCCCCGGCGUAAGUCCCUUGGAACAGGGCGUCAUAGAGGGUGAGAAUCCCGUCUGGCGUCGUGGUAGGGCCCAUGUGAAACUCCUUCGACGAGUCGAGUUGUUUGGGAAUGCAGCUCAAAAUGGGUGGUAAAUUUCAUCUAAAGCUAAAUACUGGCCAGAGACCGAUAGCGCACAAGUAGAGUGAUCGAAAGAUGAAAAGCACUUUGAAAAGAGAGUUAAACAGUAUGUGAAAUUGUUGAAAGGGAAGCGCUUACAACCAGACUUGAGCCCGUCGGUUCCCCCUCGCUUCUGCGUGGGCUACUCCGGCGGGUCCAGGCCAACAUCGGUUCGGGUGGCUGGUCAAAGGCCCCGGGAAUGUACCUCACCUUCGGGUUAGGCUUAUAGCCCGGGGUGUCAUGCGGCCUACCUGGACCGAGGAACGCGCUUCGGCUCGGAUGUUGGCGUAAUGGUUGUCAGCGACCCGUCUUGAAACACGGACCAAGGAGUCGAAGAGCUAUGCGAGUGUUUGGGUGUCAAACCCGUACGCGUAAUGAGAGUGAACGGAGGUAGGAAGCUUCGGCUGCACUAUCGACCGAUCCUGAUGUUCUCGGAUGGAUUUGAGUAAGAGCAUAACUCUCCGGACCCGAAAGAUGGUGAACUAUGCCUGAAUAGGGUGAAGCCAGAGGAAACUCUGGUGGAGGCUCGCAGCGGUUCUGACGUGCAAAUCGAUCGUCAAAUUUGGGUAUAGGGGCGAAAGACUAAUCGAACCAUCUGGUAGCUGGUUCCUGCCGAAGUUUCCCUCAGGAUAGCAGUAACGUUUUCAGUUUUAUGAGGUAAAGCGAAUGAUUAGAGGCCUUGGGGUUGAAACAACCUUAACCUAUUCUCAAACUUUAAAUAUGUAAGAAGUCCUUGUUACUUAGUUGAACGUGGACAUUUGAAUGUAUCGUUACUAGUGGGCCAUUUUUGGUAAGCAGAACUGGCGAUGCGGGAUGAACCGAACGUGAGGUUAAGGUGCCGGACUGCACGCUCAUCAGACACCACAAAAGGUGUCAAUGCAUCUAGACAGCCGGACGGUGGCCAUGGAAGUCGGAAUCCGCUUAGGAGUGUGUAACAACUCACCGGCCGAAUGCAUUGGCCCUGAAAAUGGAUGGCGCUUAAGCGUGCGACCUAUACCUCGCCGUCAGGGUUGACAUGAUGCCCUGACGAGUAGGCAGGCGUGGAGGUUUGUGACGAAGCCUUGGGGGUGACCCCGGGUCGAACAACCUCUAG
rnacentral:rRNA from 1 species